GUGACAGGUUCGAGUUUGUUACUGUGAAUCCGUCAGGUGGUGGAGUCCCAGUGCUGCUAGAUAAACACGAGACUAUUCGAACACAUUGUAAUUAUGAUAGUUUAGCUACAUUUUAAGUGUAUUUGUAUUGUCUGUGUUUGUUUUAUGUUCAUAGAGCGACAUACUGGUACAGACAGUGUUUAAAAGCACAGUGGGAAGCUUCAGUGAACAGUUCCGACUGAAUGUGCUCGUAAACGCAUCAGAGGCGCACGUGGGGCAGAUGCUGCCACUCACCGACACAGUUUGACUCCGUCGUGAGUUUGUGCGUUGUUCCAAAAACACAGGAAGAAGUGUUAAAACGGAUGUAUUACGAUGACCCAUGCUGUGAACGCCACCAGCCACGGUUUGUUUUAUCUGCGCGCCUUUAACUUGAUAUUUUAGCGACACAUGAGAGCCACUAACUUAGUUAUCUACCGCUCUGUUUGGAUUAUUCGGUGCGCUUUUGGACCACAAGUGUGACUUUACAAACAGUGAGUGGAUUUGAGAAAACAUGGGGACUCAGGGCACAGGACGGAAAAGAUCUACCAAGAAGGAGAGGUCGACGGCAGAGGACGAUGCCCUAAAUCUCAUAGCAAGAGAGGCCGAGGCCAGGCUGGCAGCAAAGAGGGCAGCCAGGGCAGAAGCCAGAGAGAUCCGCAUGAAGGAGCUGGAGCGACAACAGAAAGAGAUCUUUCAGGUGCAGAAGAAGUAUUAUGGCUUGGACACCAAAUUAGAUGACCGAGCGGACAGCAAAUGGGGAGAUAUUGAACAAUGGAUGGAGGACAGUGAGAGAUACUCACGUUCUUCACGGAUACACACGCUCUCAGACGACGAUGAGCGGAUGUCAGUGGGAAGCCGGGGCAGUGUCAGGUCGGAUCUUGAUGCAGUUGGGGCUUAUGGUGGAGGGGACUCCUCAGCACUUAAGAAGUCAAAGAAAAAGAAGAAACAUAAGCACAAAGACAAAGAUAGGAACGGCUACGAUGAUGAUUACAGUGUUAUAUCCAGCAGGAGCUCAAGACUCAGUGAUGAAAGCAGAGUGUCUCGCUCCUCCAGGCUAGACCUAACGACCUCCAGACUAAGUGAUGACACCCGGGUGUCUCGUGGCUCCAGAUUAGACCUGCAGCCGGCUGCUUAUGCUUCUUCUGACUUGUACAGCUUUAAUGGUCUCCCCUCCUCCAGAAACCCAGGUUCAGCUUUCAAUGGUUACCAGUUCUGCAGGUCACUCAGUCAGAUCACCCCGCAGCUCUAUCGUAGGAGCUCCUUAUAUGAAGACAGUCUCUGCAGUGGGUCACGGCGAGUCACUGGCUCCAGCUCUCAUCCUUUAGAGUACACUAGUUAUCGCAGCUCCGGCUCCAGAGCCUCCUCCAGGGCCAGUUCGGCCCGUGCCAGCCCAGUGGACAACUGUGGCUCUGUUGCCAGUUUUUUGAGGAGUGCAGCCAGCAGCAGUGGCCUCCCCCGAGAUCUGGACGAUGUUACUAUUCCUGACUUUUCUGACGUGAGUCGCUUUGCACCCGCAGGAGGCCGCGGCUGUGAUGUGGAGGACAGAGAUUAUCUGGAGAAGGGAUCUCGAUCAGCUUCUGCCUUAACAGCAGCAACCCUCACCUCUUUAGGCGGGACUUCCUCACGGAGAGGAAGUGGGGAGACAGCUCUGACUGUAGAUGCAGAAACCUCUGUGCGAGAAAUCAAGGAGAUCCAUGAACUGAAGGAUCAGAUUCAAGAUGUGGAAACCAAGUACAUGCAAAACCUAAAAGAAGUGAAGGAUGCAUUAGUAGAAGUGGAGGAGAAGUAUCGUAAGGCCAUGGUGUCCAAUGCCCAGCUGGAUAAUGAGAAAAACAACCUGAUGUACCAGGUGGACACACUCAAGGACUCGCUCAUGGAGCUGGAGGAACUGCUGUCUGAGUCACGCCGGGAAUAUGAGGAGAAAGUCAAGGAACACGAGCGAGAGAAACAUGCCCACUCUGUGCUUCAGUUCCAGUUCAAUGAAAUGAAAGAGACGCUAAAACAAAGUGAAGAGCUUCUAAACGACAUCCGUCAGCUGCGUAACAAACAGGAAGGUUUUGUUAGGGAAAUAUCUGACCUGCAGGAGACGGUGGAGUGGAAGGAUAAAAAGAUUGGGGCCUUAGAGCGACAGAAAGAAUACACAGAUGCAAUCCGAAUUGAGCGAGAUGAGCUCAGAGAGGAGGUGGUGCAGCUGAAAGACAUUCUGAAGAAACAUGGAAUAGUACUGGGACCUGACCUAAAUAUCAAUGGAGAGGUUGCUGAGGCAGUGGACGGGUCCCCCAGUGCAGACUCUGCUUCCCAGCCAGCUCAGGAAUCACAGACCUCCCCACCGGAGGGGAACAGCAUGCUCGGCAACACAGAGGAAACGCAGUUGAGAAGUAGUGGAGGGGAAGAAGUGGAUCCUGAGCAGCAUCAAGAGAUGUUUGAGAAAGGCAAAGAGAAUCGCUUGAGCUCUGAUACUGUCUCUACCAUUGGUGGUAUGUCCACUCUGGAGACAUCAAGCCAAGAACAGCCAACAGAAGAACAACAGACGUGCUUAGAAGACAAGGAGACUGCCACAGAAGAAGACACUUUUGAGAAGCAAGGCUUUAGCAAGGACUUAAAUGGUGACAUUAAUGACCAGUUACUCACAGAAGCCAAUACAGAUACAAUUGUUUGCAGCCCUGACCUUCAGGGGAUUGUACCAAGUUCUGAGGAAAAUGUUCUAGACACAGAAACACCAAAGGGGGAAGAUUUAGGGGAGACCAGUAACCAAGACAGGGAGGAGACAGAAACUAACACCAGUAAUGUUGACACACAAAGUGAUGACGUUAGAGAGUCAUGCAACAACCUUUUUGAAAAACAAGAAAACAAACAGGAAGAUGAGGAAAGUAAUUUGAGAAAUACAGAAUCAUGUCCUCAGCAAAACGUUGCACAAGAUGUUGUGAAAGAAAGUUUACCUGAUGUGUCUGUCCCAUUUUCAUCAAACACCAAACUUCAACAAGAGCCUGAGAAUGCAGAGGAGGCAGAGAACGAGGAGGCAGAGGAAAUAUCAAGUAAAACUCAGCCUCACGGCACUGCUGCUUCAGGGAAAAAGAAGAAAAAGAAGAAGAGAGGCAAAAAGAAAGGAGGAACUCAUGAGGAUAAGAACCAACAAAAAGAUAGAACAGAUAAAGAAAAGGGCAAAACAGAAAAAGACAUGGAAUCAGCCACAAGAGGUAAAGGGCCAACAACAGAACUUGAAGUUGAUGAUUCUGUCACUGAAACUGUCAAGGAAUCAAAGAUAGAUCAAGUUAAGGAGAAGGACAGGCAAGAAACUGAGGAGGUAGAUGGAGUAGAAGCAGUGAAGCCCACUGAAAUAUUUACUCCCAAUGAAACUCUCAAAGAAUCUAGUAUGGAUCAUGUUAUAGCAGAGCACGACAAGGAACAAACUUUGGAAACAAAAAAUGUGGAAGAAGCAGAAGCCACAGCAAAUCCUGAAACCUUUUCACACAUUGAAACUCCCAAGGAAGUAAGCGUGGAUCAUGUUACAGAUGAACAGAACGAGGACCAAAGUGAAACUGCAGAAGUAGUGGAGAAAGAGGCACCAGUCACACCCACUGAAACCAUUUCUCAUGUUGAAACUCUUAAGGAAUCCAGACCAGAUCCCAGAAAGGAUAAGCAAGAUGAGGAACUAACUUUGGAAACAGAGAAAGUAAAAGAAGCAGAAUCUAUAACAAGUGAUGUUCCAGAAACCAACCUGAGUACAUCUGAUCCCAUUGACAACUCCAAAGGUGCUGAGAGCACUGAUGGUCUUGACAAGGAGUGCACUUCCAGUGUUGAUAACUCUAAAAGUGAAACAGACAUCUCAACCAAUGGCAAUGUCGUCCAUACUGCGUCAGAAACUGAAUGUUUGAUUGUUAGUGCAGAGGAUGAAGUUGAGUCUGUUGAUGAGAUGAAAUCUGAAUGGACAACUAAUAAUGCCGAAAACACCUUUGAAUCAAGCAGGAAGGAAAACACUGAAGCUGAAUUAUAUGUUCCAAGCAAUGGUGACAUUGCUGCUGAUGAAUCUGAAUACAAAAGAAAUUCUGAGAAUAAAGACAACAAUUCAAUGUCCCUUUCUUCUACUGAUGGCUUAACUAAUGCUCUCAAGAGCUUGUCUGGCUCACAGCCAGCCUCAGACCAGUCUGAAGCAGUAAACUCAGACAACAAUGAUACUCUCAUCAAGGUUACCGAUGAAGGUCCCAAGGAAGCAACUGAGACAGUCAAAGAUGAUGAGGAGCCAGGAGCAGAGACUGAACAGGAAUCCAUUUCUCCCUGUAUCAUUUCUCCCAAACAUGACAGGGAUGAUUCAGAGCUCAAAGCAGACAAAACUGAAAAGGAGGAACUGAAUGGAGACUCAAGGGAACCUAAAGAUUCAGUAGAGACCGACAGCUCACAUGACGAAAAAAGUGGCAGUUGUGACAGUGCAUCAUUAUCCAAAAGCACUGAUGCAUUAGACACGGUACAGAGUCUGUUGGAGACUGUAGCGCAGGCAGAACAACUGGAUGAUGUAGAAAACCAGACAUUACAGUCUGAGGAUCAGAUUGAUGAAGCAAAUGCUGAAGUGACCCCAGAAACAAAAGAUAUUGACAUGAUAAAUACACCAGACUCUCCAAAUCAGACUCCUGAAAUUGAGUCCUCUGUCGAGCAGGACCACAGUAGUGAAGAUCCGGAACAUAAAAACAGUCAAAAUGAUCAGCAGAGUGAGACACAGCAACUGCACGAACCCAGCUUAGACAAGCCUGACAGUAAGGAUUCAUCCCAACCCACCCUGCAUGACAGCGAUGAGGAGGACGCUGAAAAUGAUGAAGGGCUGUCUUUUGAUUUUGAUGACAUGGAUAUGGAGGCAGCUAUCGCAGCAAGUCUCCCUGAAAAUCCGAAACAGGAAGAAGUUGAGGAGGGAGUUGAAGUCAUGUCAGUUGAAAGCAACGACAGUAGUUCAGGGCUGUGCCAAAGUAAUACUGAGUCAAAUGAAAAUAGACAAGAUGAGCCAGUUGAAAGUAAUGAUGAGAAAUGUACAGUUGAUGGGGGUUCCCAGGUAGAUACACUAGUUACUAUGCCUGGAGACAACCCAAACUCUUUGGCUCAUGAUGAUGCCACGGUGGAACAUAUGGAAAAUGUGUGUGAAAAGCAGACAGAUAUGCCUGAGGCCGAAGUAGGUGUAGCAGAGGAACCUGGGCACAUUAUCGAGGAAGGAAAGGUUUUAAAUGCUGAGGAGUUAGAUGUUGUUGCAGAGGACAAUAACCAAGCAAUGUCUCUACCCAUAGAGGAAGGAUUGGAUGCCAUUAAGCAUGAGUUGCAGGGUGAAAAUUUGGAUAUGCCAAAAAGUGCGGAGGUCAGCAACAAAGAGCCACAGCAGACAGGGAGAGAUGUGAAGAAGAACAGCAAGAAAGGCAAAGGCAAGGGCAAAGAAGAGUGUAAGAUGUCUUAGCAAAUGGAUGUAUGUAGUAAAGAUAUAUUGUGUAUCAUUUGAUCUGUCCACUUACUAGUAUUUGCUUAGCUGUUUACAGUCUAGUGCAGAACCUCACAGCACUUUGAUCCUUUCCCAAAUGAAUAUUAAUGUAUGUUUGUAUGUCCUGUUGUCAAAUCUAUGUAAACAGUCUAAGGUCCAAACAUCAGUUUUUAUUAAGGUCAUAUGUGCAAUGAUGAGAAUGUAAACUGUAACAUUUGAUUUUAGUGUUGGACAGUACUGCACAUGAUAUGUCAGGUGACAUAAUCUUGUUAUUGUGUCAUGGCUAAUAUUGCUUUGCGCCUGUAUCUCACAUAUAGUUCAUAGAUGGACAAAAAAAACACACAUUCAAAAUUGGUAGUUGGCAUUUUGACUCAAGCCAACUAGCUUUACAUGUUCUAGCUGUAAUGUUGAUGGUUAAGAUAAAAAGGUGUUCUGAGACCCUGUGCUGUUCUCAGGGGUUUAAAAAAAACCUGCUGUUUGACUUAAAGGCACAGUUCGGACCUUUUGAAGUGGGGUUGUAUGAGGUGCUUAUCCAUAGUCAGUGUGUUACAGACAGUAGAUGUCAGUCAGCACACCCCCAGUUUGGAUAAGCAGCAGAAGUGCUGACACAGAAGCAAAGCAAUGGACGGUGGGCAGCAGCAUAACAUAUUUUAGCCACCUAACAGGGAAACAGAUUAAGUGUGCACUAUAUGGAGAAUAUUUUCUCCGCUUUACCUAUCCGUCAGACACCUCACUCUGACAGGAAGCUGUUAACAGCUUCAGUUACUCAUCUAUGCUCUUGUCAAAGCCACCAGACUCCACUGACAAAAACAGUAAUUUUGGCUUGCUGAACACAGGGGCUGUGGGUCUACUGCUGUCUCGAUCAGUUAGUUUGUGUUAUUGUGUGAAUUUUGUGAAUCUGAACUAACCCUUUCAAACGCCAAAGUCACACAAUUACGCAAAGUAACUGAUGAAGGCAGCGGUAGACCGUCAGCUCCCAUGUUCAGCAAUUUUAAGUCACAGUUUUUCUCAAUGGAGUCUGGCUUUGAAGAGUGCAUUAUGGGAGCUUAAUUUCACUGUCCCUAAUUGCUGUCUGAUGGCAAACUUAAACAGUGAAAAUAUUCUUUUUUAGGUGGCUAUAAUACAUUUUGUUGCUGCCCCCGUCCACAGCAGUACAUUGCUUAGCUUCAGUUUCAGACUCCAGCCUGCUUCUCCAAACUGGGGGCAGGGCGACUGACAUUCAUUGUAGGUAAUACACUGACUUUGGAUAAGUACCCCAUACAACCCCACUGCACAAUAUCUGAAUUAUCCCUGUAAACAAAGCCAUUUCCAUGUGUAACAAUGGAAUGUGUUUGAUAAAUGUAUGUUUGCAUUUUGUUGCACUUAAUGGAAAAGAUGAAUGUGGUGCAUCCACACUGAAAUACCAAUAAAUACCCUGCUGUUACCACUUUGAAACGUUUAUCUAAAUGCAUUUUUGUAAUGAAAUUCCUUGAGUGACAUAAUGAAAAGCAAUGUGUCAGAUGUCGGCAAGAAAUGUUACUCUCAUUCUUUGUAGGCAGCACAUUUACACAUCAAUGUUCAUAUCUUAUUAUACUUUAUUAUUGUGUGGUCAUGUAGUGUGAAUGUAGUCCUGCCAGCUGUGUGCUUUUGCAUUGACCCUCUUCUCCACAGUUUGUGCAUGCUAACAUUCCCCUUCACACUCCACUCCAUCACUCCCUCAUGGAUGCCUGCACUGUUGCAUGCAUCAGCCUCCCACCCUGACCCAGCCCCCCUUACACCAUCUCCUUGGCUCCUCCCACCCCUGAGAUUCGCCUAAGGAAACUGGUGGAUGAGCGUGAAAAAAUGAUAGAGCAGGU